rnacentral:rRNA from 1 species
UACGUAGGGGGCAAGCGUUGUCCGGAAUCAUUGGGCGUAAAGCGCGUGUAGGCGGCCCGGUAAGUCCGCUGUGAAAGUCGGGGGCUCAACCCUCGAAUGCCGGUGGAUACUGUCGGGCUAGAGUGCGGAAGAGGCGAGUGGAAUUCCUGGUGUAGCGGUGAAAUGCGCAGAUAUCAGGAAGAACACCCGUGGCGAAGGCGGCUCUCUGGUACGUGACUGACGCUGAGACGCGAAAGCGUGGGGAGCGAACAGG